rnacentral:rRNA from 1 species
UACGGGGGGGGCAAGCGUUGUUCGGAAUUACUGGGCGUAAAGGGCUCGUAGGUUGCCAACUAAGUCAGACGUGAAAUCCCUCAGCUUAACUGGGGAACUGCGUCUGAUACUGGAUGGCUUGAGUUUGGGAGAGGGAUGCGGAAUUCCAGGUGUAGCGGUGAAAUGCGUAGAUAUCUGGAGGAACACCGGUGGCGAAGGCGGCCAUCUGGACGGUAACUGACGCUGAGACGCGAAAGCGUGGGGAGCAAACAGG